AACAGGAUUUGCAGAACUCAUGAGUUAGCCAUGUCGGCUCAAGGUCAAAGUCACAACUCGAGAUCAAAGGUGUUCAUGGUCACAUCCAGUCCAAUAGAGAUGGAAAAGUUACUCCUACUUCUCCUCCUUGCUGUUAGUCACAUCAGCCUAGUAUCCUGUGCCUGUGAUGCAGUUACUGAUGCAGCAACCUACACAAGUGAAAGAGCAGCAAAUGCUGUAGAGAUGAAGUUUUACAGAGCCCAAACAACAGAGUGGAUUAGUGACAGUGUUACAAACAAGGUGGCAGCACAAGUCAUCAGUAAAGCUAACUCUUACUGUGCAAGCAACACGGGCACUUGUGGACUACAGUCCUGCUGUACUUCUGCGUUUAAGGAGACUAUGGUUGUGGUUUCUAGUGGCUAUCCACAAGAUGACCUGAAAGAUUUGCUUCUGAAAAUUUCCCUGGAUUUUCCCUCAGAUCUGAACUCAACUGGAACCCCUCAGUGUGUGAUGGGAAAGUCCGCAUUACAAACAAUUAUCCGUGAAGCAAGGGAGGCAAUUCAUGAUGAUACUGGAUUUUGGAUCACUUAUAUUGAUGAUGAAUUCACUAGUCUUCCCCCACCUACAGAGUUGAACAAGAUCAUUAUCCCGAUAGCCUGUGCUGUGAUUCUCGGACUGGCAAUCCUUACAAUCAUUUUGAAUGUUUGGAACAAAAAGAAAGAAGAGUCACUGAGACGUAAAAAGAUCAUUGAGCAGAGAAAGAAGUCUAAGAAGGACCCGCCCAUGUACAAUGUUGACACCCGGGAUCCUAAAGCUCCCAGCGGCCUCACCGGAAAAAUCGAUAAGAAACAGAAACCAAAAAGUUUGAUGAUGAGUUAUAAUAAUGUAAGUGACAGUGAACGAGAGACCUCUGCAGCUAGCCGGAAGGACCAGUUGUACAGAGAUAAUCUCAAAAAGAGUACGAAGUCAGCUAAGAAGACAGCCAGCAUUGCCAGUGAGGACUCGGCGAUCAAAGUUGACACGACAGAUUCUCGUCAACGACAGGCUUUCUCCUACGAGAAGGAGUUGGAUGGUGCUAGUGGUUAUGAUCGAAAUGACAGGAAAGGUUAUGGUGGAUUUUCAGAGCCAGAAGCUCCACCUUCUAGUCACCUAAAGCCGAUUGACUCUGGGGCAGAUGAUGAGUCAAGGUCACCUGAAAAGAAGAAAAAGAAGAAGAAGAAGAGAUUAAGUGCUGAGCAAAAAGAAAAACUGAAAGAGAAAAUGAAGAUAGCCGCAUGGUUGAAGAAUCUAAAUCAAAAGAAGUAAUGGAUGGCAUACCAAAUGAUGGAUAUACAAACACAGAUUUGUUAGCACAAUACAAAACAGGAACUGGGCUAAACAAUCAUCAUUAUAUGGACAACAAAACUUAUGAUAACAAUGCUUAUGAGUGAUGAAAGAGCAGUGUGGAUAUGACAGUAUUUCAUGGUUACAUUCCAAAGACAACAGAUCUCCUAAUAUAUGCUACGAUAUUGAAUGAAAAUUUAAUGAUCAAAUAUAAGUUGAUAAUACUCUUGGUAAAAAUCGGG